UUAGUUGGUGGAGUGAUUUGUCUGGUUAAUUCCGUUAACGAACGAGACCUCAGCUUGUUGGUUGUAAUAGUCAAUCUUUGAUUGGUCUAUUGGAUUGAGAAGGACUGUCAGUGUUUAGCUGAUGGAAGUUUGAGGCAAUAACAGGU
rnacentral:rRNA from 1 species